GUCUCCAUAGCUCAAUGGAUAGAGCUGGUCCGUCCUAAGGACAAGAUGUGGGUUCGAUUCCUGCUGGGGACA
rfam:Parcubacteria bacterium GW2011_GWC1_38_22 TS82_C0014, whole genome shotgun sequence.